UGAGCAGUGAGGCCUUCCUUAUAACCCCACCAUCCCUCGGGAUCUCUUUGCAUCUCCUGUCUUCUUCAUCUAACUCUCUUCUCUUCUCAUCUCUUUAUUUCUGUGUCUCCCUCUCUCCCCUCCUGACCCUCUUCCUUCUUGACUGUUUUUCUCUUCUUCUGAUUAAACAGGGACAAACAGGUUUCAUUCCCUUGAUUCAGACAGAAGGAUUCAACACAUCACCAACGUUAGAGAAGAGGCGCGAAAGAGGAGGCUGGGAGCCAGGUUUCAAGACUGCACAGGAAGGACCUCACUGCUCUGGGGACUGGGCAGGAAGCACACAUUCAAAACUACAUACCAUGGGAGUCUUCCUGGGAGGCCAGGAGCCUUUCCUCUUGCCACGAAGAGGCCAUUGCCACCAGGCUGGAACCUGGCUGGCUCCUGGGAGAAGCAUCCAACAGCCCUGGGCAGUUGCUGUCUCCAGAAGAGAAGACCGAGGCUGUGAGCAGAGUCAUGAAGCAAGGGUUGCCUGCCCAAGGCCACCACCAACAAAUAGCAGAGCUGAGCUCUGAACUUCCAGUCAUCAGAUGACAGUGUCUGCCUUUCCUACCUGCUCUAAGAACUCCAUAAACACACCACAGUGGAGACAA
ensembl:antisense Gm12000 predicted gene 12000